rnacentral:pre_miRNA from 1 species
GCUGUGUUCCCGUCUCAAAAUUCUUAUCUUAAACUUGUAUAUAUAUAAAUGUAUCUAGUUACGUUUUAGUAUUUACAUACAUUCAUAUUUAGAUAAAGUUAAGAUAAGAAUUUUAAGACGAAGAGAGUACUAC